rnacentral:rRNA from 1 species
GACGAACGCUGGCGGCGUGCUUAAUACAUGCAAGUCGAGCGAGGUCCAUCUGGUGGCAACACCAGUGAAGGCCGAGCGGCGAACGGGUGAGUAACACGUGAGCAACCUGCCCCGAAGUCUGGAAUAACAUCGGGAAACCGGUGCUAAUACCGGAUCGCCCCACCUGACCGCAUGAUCGGGUGAGGAAAGAUUUAUCGCUUCGGGAGGGGCUCGCGGCCUAUCAGCAGUUGGUGGGGUAACGGCCUACCAAGGCAUCGACGGGUAGCUGGUCUGAGAGGACGACCAGCCACACUGGGACUGAGACACGGCCCAGACUCCUACGGGAGGCAGCAGUGGGGAAUCUUGCGCAAUGGGCGAAAGCCUGACGCAGCGACGCCGCGUGA